rnacentral:lncRNA from 1 species
GGUCUGAGCCAGUGCCUUGCGAUCUUCUGCGAGGAUCUCGAGGAGGUAGAGCAGGGCCCAUUUGUUGUUAACAGUGGUGGCUCUGGCGGCGAACUUGGAGUAUAAGUCGGCGAACGAGAGUGCGUCGGCGGAGCGGCCGUGAGGGGCGAGGCGGCGUUUGAUUUGUUCCGCGGCCGCGGGCGGGGUCGGGGGGGAGUCGGCGAACGAGAGUGCGUCGGCGGAGCGGCCGUGAGUGGCGAGACGGCGUUUGAUUUGUUCGGCGACGGCGGCGGCGUCGGGGGCGGAGAGAGAGGGGUUGAGGCGGCUGGAGAGGAUGCGGAGGGCGUAGCGGAGGGGUUUUUGAAAUUCCGGGGAGUUAGGGUUUAGUGGUGGUGAGUCGGCGGGG